rnacentral:lncRNA from 1 species
AGGAACUCGACGAGUCCGAGCGGGAUCCGAGUCGAGGAAUAAGUGGCCAACUCGGCGAGUCGGCCAAGGCGACUCGGCGAGUAGGGUCUGUGCGAGGAAAACCCUAAAUCUGGGGCUUGGAGCCUAUUUAAUCGCCUCAUUCUUCUUCCUAGGGCUUCUUGACUGUCUCUCACACCCAGAACGCCGCACCCUAAGCCUCCAAUGUGCUCAUUCAAGCUUUUAGCCAUUUUUGAGUAAUUUAGAAGAAGAAGAAGAAGAAGUGGGAAUCUUUGAAGCAUCAAGGAGUGGCCUUGGAUCCGAAGUUUGGGAAACAUUUCAGAGCAUUGGAAGGUAUUAAUUCGUUUCCCUCCUUCAGAUCUUCUUUGGUUAUGAGUUUUGGGGCUUUUAGCCAUGUCUAAGAUCAAUUUCAAGCUUGAGGUCCAGAUCUGAGGUUGCUACCUCAGAUCCAUGCUUGUUUUGGUUUAGAAUCCCGUAAAGUAUUAGCCAUUGGGUGGAUUUUUGAGCCUCUUGGUCUUAAACCCUAGUUUAUGGUGGAUUGUGCCUAGAUCUCCUUCUCUACACGUAAAGUUUGCAACUUUACGUGGGGAAUAGGCUUGGGAAGGGUAGAUCUACAGUUUGGAGUCCAUGCAUGACUCGAAAGUCCUCUGCAUGUAAGUAGAUCCGAAUGGACUCGGCGAGUCCUUCGAGUGGACUCGGCGAGUAGCUUGAAGAUGAGGAGGAACUCGACGAGUGGGAUGAACAGCUCGUCGAGUCGGAUGAAGAUGGGCAUGAACUCGG